UGGCACCUCCACCUCUUCCUCUUCCUCUCCCUCUAGUGCUAACCACAGCCAUUCUUUCAACUUGCCACCAACACGAAAAUUAAAGAGGAAUGUCAGGAGAACUUAUUCAGGAAAUUAAUACUCAACUUCGUUGCUUUAAUUGGACGAACGGAUCCAUGAAACGUUCCUGCACAAUCAGCCAUUAAAGGCCACGGUGAGCUCCUUUGAUCUCCCCGUACCGACCCCCUCUUCCCCUAUAAAUAGGACCCUGGGAAGCACAACAUAUCUCUCCAUCCCUAAGCCCGAAACCCCUCUCUGUCUCGCUCUCCUACGCGAGCAAUUGCUCGCCGGAGUUCAACAAUAGCAUCAAACUCCGACGAGGAUUCCGUCGCGACCGAGCAGGAGGACGAGAACCGCGAAGACUGAGGCUCAUCACCGCCGUGCGCAACUUCAGCCGCUUCUGUCGAGUGAAGCAGAAAGCUCCGGAGAUCCUUACGGAGUCCAUUGAAUUCUCCAUCACCAUCUCUCCACCGUCCGCUACUCCCAAGACCUUUGGUUUGUCGAAUCCGCGCCGGGCCGCCCAACUCCGGCGAACCCUCACGAUUGCGACGAGUGCGAAGGUGAAUUCUACGAGGAGGUAGAACCUUGUGACUACAAAACCGAAGGCAAGUUGCAAAUUGAUCAUGCUUC